UGGUAAAAUCUUCAAAAACAGAUAAGGAUGGUGUAACUGUUAAAUGGAUAGAAAAUGGAGCUACAAAAUACAAAGAUAUUGACCUGAUCAGCAUCUUUCCCUUAACCCUGACCUUGUAACUGACAGAAAAAAAUUAACCCAGUAUAGAAACACCCUCAUCUCUAACAUCUUCAGGCAAGUUAAACAAGAUUGUAAAGAAUUAAUGGACUGUAGUGGCUUCUAUUAACAAUGACUCUCCACCAAGAGAGAUAAAAAAAUCAUUGGUUCUACUCAUGCACACCUGGUCAACUUCCUGAACAGUUUUUCUCUGCACAACAGAAGAUACGUAGAAAAUCUAAUUCCAAGAUUGUGCCACUGCACACCAGGAGUAAGACCCUGUCAAAAAAAAAAUCUAAUUGUGUAAAAGAAGUAGAAAAAUUAAAAAGAAAAUAAGAAAAAAGUGACUUAAGCAGAAAGAAUUUAAAGAAAAAAAUAGCCCAGGAUGUUGAUGCUACAAACCCAAAUUAUAAAAUUAUGUAUAUAAUCAGAGACUUUAGAGGAAGUUUGGAUUAUAGGGCUACAUGUGUUGCUUAUGGGCAGACUGGAUAUAGAAAAACUCACCACUAUAGGUGGUGACUUUUUAGGAAAAAUCAAGAUUAUUCUAAAGGAAUUUAUGCAUUAGCAGCUCUAUUUUUUUUAAUGCUAAGGAAGCCAAACUCUAAGAAGCUAGAAUGUCAAGUAUAUGAUACCUUUUUUGAAAUUUAUAGUGGGAAGAUGUUUGACUUGCUAAAUAGGGAAACAAAAUUAAGAGUGCUAGAAGAUGCAAAACAGCAGGUUCAAGUGACAAGAUUAUAAGAAUGGGAGGUCAAAUGUGUUGACAGUGUACUUAAACUCAUUGGCAUAGGCAAUAGUUGCAGAACUUCCAGUCAAACGUGCAAAUGUACAUUCAUCUUAGAGCCAUGUAGUAUUUCAGAUCAUUGGUAGAAGGGGAAAAAUGCUUGAAAAUUUUAUUUCAUCAAUUUGAAAACAAAUGAAAAGAGGAGGUUAUACUUCCAGUAUGGGCAGGCAAACUAGGCUUGAAGGUGCUGAAGUUAAUAAAAACAUUUUAGUACUAAUGAAAUGUAUCAAAUCCUUAGGUAGAAAUAAACCUCAUACUCCUUUCUGAGCAAGUAAACUCACUCAGGUGUU
rnacentral:lncRNA from 1 species